UAGAGAACCUGCCUUUUGGGUAGAUCUCCCACCCUUUGUUUACAAUACCUUUGUUGCUUUGGCAGGCCCGUCUUUUGACCACCGGCUUUGGCUGGUCAGCGCCUGCCAGAGGACCUUAAACUCUUGAUUUUGGCAUUGUCUGAGUAUUAUAUAAAUAGUUA
rnacentral:misc_RNA from 1 species